AAUUGCAGAAUUCAGUGAAUCAUCGAAUCUUUGAACGCACAUUGCGCCCUGUGGUAUUCCGCAGGGCAUGCCUGUUCGAGCGUCAUUU
rnacentral:rRNA from 1 species